GAUGAACGCUGGCGGGGUGCCUAAUACAUGCAAGUCGAGCGAACAGACGAGGAGCUUGCUCCGCUGACGUUAGCGGCGGACGGGUGAGUAACACGUGGAUAACCUACCUAUAAGACUGGGAUAACUUCGGGAAACCCGAGCUAAUACCGGAUAAUAUAGUGAACCGCAUGGUUCAAUAGUGAAAGACGGAUUUGCUGUCACUUAUAGAUUGAUCCGCGCCGCAUUAGCUAGUUGGUAAGGUAACGGCUGACCAAGGCAACGAUGCGUAGCCGACCUGAGAGGUUGAUCCGCCACACUGGCACUGAGACACGGUCCAGACUCCUGCGGGAGGCAGCAGUAGGGAAUCUUCCCCACUAGGCGAAAGCCUGUCGGAGCAACGCCGCACGAGUGAUGAAGGUCUUCGGAUCGUAAAACUCUGUUAUUAGGGAAGAACAAAUGUGUAAGUAACUAUGCACGUCUUGACGGUACCUAAUCAGAAGGCCACGGCUAACUACGUG
rnacentral:rRNA from 1 species